rnacentral:rRNA from 1 species
AACGAACGCUGGCGGCGCGUUUUAAGCAUGCAAGUCGAACGGUACGGUACCUUCGGGUACUGGAGAGUGGCGAACGGGUGAGUAACACGUAGGUGAUCUACCGUGAGGAUGGGGAUAGCCUGUGGAAACACAGGGUAAUACCGAAGGAGCUCGGAGGACUGUGGUUUUCCGAGGAAAGGUCCUAAGGGACCGCCUUACGAUGAGCCUGCGGCUGAUUAGUUAGUUGGUGGGGUAAAGGCCUACCAAGGCAGCGAUCAGUAGCCGGCCUGAGAGGGUGGACGGCCACACUGGGACUGAGAUACGGCCCAGACUCCUACGGGAGGCAGCAGCUAAGAAUCUUCCGCAAUGGUCGCAAGACUGACGGAGCGACGCCGCGUGGGUGAUGAAGGCCGUGAGGUUGUAAAACCCUUUUCUGCCUGAGGAAUAAGCUUACGAGGGAAUGCGUGAGUGAUGACGGUAGGGCAGGAAUAAGCCCCGGCUAAUUACGUGCCAGCAGCCGCGGUAACACGUAUGGGGCGAGCGUUGUUCGGAAUUAUUGGGCGUAAAGGGCGCGUAGGCGGGAUAGCAAGUCUGGUGUGAAAGACCGCAGCUCAACUGCGGGAGCGCGCUGGAAACUGUUAACCUUGAGUUCCGGAGGGGGAGUUGGAAUUCCUGGUGUAGGGGUGAAAUCUGUAGAUAUCAGGAAGAACACCGGUGGCGAAGGCGAACUCCUGGACGGGAACUGACGCUGAGGCGCGAAAGCGUGGGGAGCGAACAGGAUUAGAUACCCUGGUAGUCCACGCCGUAAACGAUGUGCACU